AAAAAUACUAUUAGUGUUACUUUUCCCAUGUUACCGAUAAGACAUCAUAAUAGAAAUCUUAUCCAAAACUGACUAGGGUAUCCUAAAGGAGGACAUGUCCUCCUUUUUCAUUAAAAAUCAGAUGUCCUUUUUUUUGCGCUAAAAUCGACACUGUUGUUUCUUAAGGGCCAAUGUCGCAAACGUAAACAAUGCCUUUUCCUGCAAAUUUCUCAACAACUAGGACCGCUCCCAGCUAACAACCACUUGAAACUGGUGUCGCUCCGCGUCUUCUAUCGAAUGGAAGUGGAAAAUAGAGCCAGAAGUCUCUAAUCUUCCUGAAAUCAGCAAAAGAAGUCAAUGUUUACGUUUGCGACUUUCGCCCUUUUGAAACAACUAUGUCGAAAUAUCCUCCUUUUGGAUAUACAGUAGCAAACAAUUUUUUUUCUGGAUUUUUUUUUAUUUUUAUUUUUUUUCGGUUCUCUUUAUUAAUGAGACUUUCAGCUCUAGGUUGGCUCGUCUUCGUUUUCACACUUAAAAGACUAUUUUCUACUCGGUAAAAUAAAUUGACGAACAUAAUCGUAAAAUCUUAUUUUAACUGAUAUCUCGGUCAAUAAAUAUGACGUUAACAUAAGUUACUGAAACUCGGCAGUCAAGUUUGCCAUCGUCAUCGGUAGUUCGGAAUUUGACUGAGUUUUGGCAAACCCAUCUGUCAAACAGUUAAGCUCUAGCUUCGCUGUAAAAAAACACGUGAGGAAGCAAGAGCAAUGGAAAAAUAGAAUUUUCAUCUUUGCAUUUUUUUUUGCUGCAGCUGUAAUUCAAACAAGAUAGAUGGACAUUGCGAGAAAAUUGCUUCCUUCCAAGAAGGAGCCAAAAUAAACACGUUGACCAUCGUUGGAAUAAUCAGGAACCUAUACUGACUGGUCCUGUCUCGGGUCCUGUUCUGGUUCUCUAUGGAAUCGUGGAACAAUAACAGAAAUAGAAAUCCUGUUAAUUUUGGUAGGCAAGUCAGGUUUCAUGCAGCAUUUUCAUAAAACUAUAUAUACUACAAACACACAAAAAUGAUCAAAAAUAAAAUCUAUUUUCCUAUUGAUUAACGCUUUUUUUUUGUUUUGUAAUUUGUAAAUUUUGACAGCUGGGUGGUGUCGAACAUUUUACGACCAAUCGGUAAUUCAAACUUUCGCUGAGAUUUUUACCGAGAUAUCAGCUGUUGGAUUCUCGGCAAUUUAUUUUACCGGCCUCGGCGAAACAAAUUAAGUGUGUGAAGAUAUUUUAGUUUAAUAAACAAUACUUCAACAAAGGGUUAGAACAACAAUGGCCAACGAAAUUCAUAUUUUUGCAUAUGUGUACAUUCCACCAAACAAUGCCCGUAGAGAAAUAUAUGAUAAAUUUUUCGUUUCUGCUGAACAAAUUUUGUCUUGCUUACCACCAGAAGUUAAAGUCCACAAAUACGGUGAUUUCAAUCAACGCAAUGUUGAUUUCAUUCCAGACAUGAAUAAUGAUAGUAUUUUAUUGCCAAUUGUAGGUUAAAAUGCAUUGUUACAGUGUUCAUUCGAUAAAAUUUCUAAUUUAGGACUCAAUAAUGUUAAUCAUGUAAAAAAUCAACGAAUCAACCAAAUUGUUACCUGGAUUUUCUUCUAACAAAUACUUUUGAAGACUUCUAUGUUAGUGAAUCAAUAAGCCCUUUAUGAAAAAAUGAAGCUUUUCACACUGCUAAAGAA